AGGUCCGUAGCUCGAACUGGUUAGAGCGCCGCACUCCAAAUGCGGGGGUUGAGGGUUCGAAUCCUUCCGGGCCUGCCA
rnacentral:tRNA from 1 species